GCCAGGCAUAAUGAUUCACGCCUGUAAUCCCAGCAACUCGGGAGGCUGAGGCAGGAGGAUUCCAAGUUCAAGACCAACCUGAGUGAUUUAGCCAGGUUCUAAGGACUUAGUGAGACCCUGUCUCAA
rnacentral:sRNA from 1 species